CUGCAUUUUAAUAUUGAUUACAGGCUUUUUAUUCCAGAGUAGUAGUAGCUCCAACACCAGCCCCUGCACCACCAGUGGUCAAGCCACCCAUCACUAAUCCACCAGUAGUGAACCCUAGUCCGCCGGUAGUCAAGCCACCAGUUUAUUCUCCACCAGUGGUCAAGCCACCCAUCACUAAUCCACCAGUAGUGAAACCUAGUCCGCCGGUAGUCAAGCCACCAGUUUAUUCUCCACCAGUGGUCAAGCCACCCAUCACUAAUCCACCAGUGGUGAAACCUAGUCCCCCGGUAGUCAAGCCACCAGUUUCUUCUCCACCAGUGGUCAAGCCACCAACUCCUACCACACCGGUCGUCAAGCCACCAGUUUCUUCUCCACCAGUGGUCAAGCCACCAACUCCUACCCCACCAGUCGUCAAGCCACCAGUUGCUACCCCGCCAGUGACCAAACCCCCCACUCCUUCACCACCACUAACCAAGCCACCAAGUAGUCCUGCACCAGUAACCAAACCACCCACCACUCCAACACCACCAGCAUAUAAGCCACCAGUGACGCCACCAUCUGGUUCACCAAUGCCCCCUCCGGUUAGAACAAGAGCAGGUAACGCAUAGAAAUUGAAGCUUAAAUGUUAUAUUUGGUACACAUCAUGAAAAAGUUUGAAUUUUUCUUAUUUUAUACAUUGCGAGUGAAAAUGGGUGUUGAAGAUUAAUUCUGUUGGUUGCAGAUUGCCUCCCACUAUGUGCAGAAAGAUGCAAAUUACAUUCAAGAAAAAACAUCUGUGAAAGAGCUUGCAUGACAUGCUGUGACAGGUGCAAAUGUGUGCCCCCAGGAACUUACGGUAACAGAGAAAAAUGUGGCAAGUGCUACACUAACAUGACUACUCGUGGCAACAAACCCAAGUGCCCUUGAAAUUUCAAGAAACUAAAACUACUUCUCUCUUCAUAUAUAUUAUAGUUAUAGAUAAAUGAAAUAUAUCUUUCUAAUUGUUAUUUAAGUUUCAAGUCUCUAAUGGAGAAAAAGAAAUAAAUGUUCUUGUUUCUGUUUCUGGCGUUAGAUGCAGGUAGUAUAUAUUAAUUGAGCAAUCAGUGUUAUAAAUAUUGUACUGAGGCAAGUCUGUGCUUAGGUAGCUGUUUCCUUGAGUUUUAAAUGCUGAUUGCAGAUAUUAAUAUAUGUUGUUGUUUCAGUAAUAUAUAAACGGUCAGGUUUAAAAUUGCAUAUAAAGUAUUAUAAGAUUUCGAGUUUAAACCAUUUCCACUGUAACUAAACUACCAGAAGAAAACAAGAAAAGAAAUCAUAGAUCAAAAUAAUAUAGAUCGAGCUGCAAGUGAAGCAUAGAUCAAUGAUUUUUCAAAUAUGUUAAAGUUUUAAACUCUUCAAAUCUUUUCAUUAUUGAUAUGAAAUUAACUUUGAUAUUCUAUUAGUAUAAAUUGAUGCUCAAAGAUUAGCAAUAAUAACUAUGCUUCUAUUAUAUCUUCCACUAGCCAAAAUGCUUGGUUAAAAACCACUUUGUCAUCUGCGUAUUUAUUUCCUCUGCAAUUACCACCAGCAAGACACUGCUAGCCCAGCAAUUAAUUAUUUUUUCAUUUCGCCAUAGGGCUUAGCACAGUUAAGCUUUUGGAGAAACCUGGUGUGGUUAGGGGCUCUGUAUGAGUUGAAUUGUUUAAUAAAUAAAAUUAAAUCCAAAACUAAAGAUUCAUUUUACUUCUACUCGACUUAUAUAUUCAAUCGGAAAUCAAUAUGAAAUGGAAAUGGAUAACCAAUCAAAUAAAAUAAGGAUAAUAUUGAAAAAAUAUUAUUUAUUAUUUUUUAGAAUAUUCAAAACGAUUUAUACGUUGGAAUAAAAUAAACACUUUAAAAAGGAAAUAUAUGAAUGCAUCUUUUAUGAAAUUUCUUUUGUUUUUUCCUUAGGCUCGUAUUAUAUCAUAAACCACUAUCCAAAAGGUCGAAAGCAUAUUGAUAGGUUUCAUCAUCCAAGAAAGUUAUGUGCUUAUACACGUUCCACCUCUUAAAUUCCUAUAUAAAGAGGAAAUUAGAAACACAAAGUGGGAACUCCUGGCUUAGCUCCAGCACCUGCUACUAAUGCAAGCUCCCUUGCUUUUUUGCCAUUUAUGGUGAUUGGAUUUGUGGGUUUUGCUGUUUUAUUUUUGGUGCUUAAAUUGGUGAACUAAUUUCUGCGUUGUUUUUUUUGAUAAUUAAUGAGUUCAUGUGUUUGUUAGAUUGUUUAAUUAUGUUAUAUUAAUAAAAUUGUUCUGCCAGUUUGUGAUUGUUUAAUUAUAUUGAGGAAGAAAUUUUAUGUUGUACACUUCUAAAUAGUCUCACUUUAAUUUUAUUAAAAAUUAUUAUUAUUAUUAUUAAAGGUCCUCAAGAAUAUACCAUUAAGAGAUAUCUGAUUCAAAUUUCACGGCGGUUGGAGAAGGUUUAUAAGGUAAAUUGGAGAAAGUUUAUAAGGUAAAUGAGCGAUCUUUCGUUAUAAUGUUUUCUGUUGUGUAGCUCAUUUAAAUUUCGAUAAAAAAAUAUUUCUUAAACUUGAAAAAUGGCCUGUUUAAAACUAAAUGAUAUAAUAAUAGAAAGCAAUGUCAGACUACCAAAGUGAUAAACAUAAAAAUGCUGGGCUAAUGGGCUUGAUGUGGAUUUAUUCAUUUUUUUAUUUACCAAACGUUUGAUUUUUGCAGUUAGACCAUAGAAAUGAUAUUUUCAUCAUUUACAAAAAAAAUAGGAAGAAUAUAUUUUUGUUAUAGAAUAAAAAAUACAAUAUAUAAAAGUUAACAUAGAAGCUUGUUUUUUACUCGACAGAUAAAUAUUUUUUUUCCAAAAUCAUUUCUAAAUAUAAGAUUUUAAUUUCUUAUAUUUAUAUUUCUUAGUGCUAUGAAAAUAUUAUGAUAUACUCAUAUUACAUUUUUUAUUAAUGAAUUAUCAAUUUUCUUUAAAGAAAAGGUUAGCUUAUGAGUUGUUCUGAAUAAAUCAUAGUCAUAUUAUAUUUUUCAUUAUUGAAUUAUCAAUUUUUUCUAAAGAAAGGUUAGCUUAUGAGUUUUUAGUAGAUGUAUUUGAUUAUUCAAAUCAUUGUUUGGAAUAUUUAACGAAGCAAAUUUUCAAAUUUGUCAUUGAUGUUAUAUUCACAAUACUGAAAUGUGUGGUUUCAAACUUGUUAACUUAAACAUUACAUUUAACUUCAAUUAGCUAAAUUAGAAUCUAACCCUACAUUACGAGGAAAAGGGGCCAAAAGAAAGCGAAAUGGAUUGCAUCUUCACAUGAAUUUGUUGUAUAAAAAUUAAGGAUUUAAAAUUUGAAAUUUAAAAUCGUCGCUGUCGAAAGUGUUUUAUUUGUCAUCUCUGAUGUGAGUGCAAAAACACAUAAAUAAAUAGGGUUUUGCUAAAUGACACAAGUUAUGUGUAAUAUAAUCAUUCAUAUUUACAAUUACACGUGUGGCAUCAACAAUAUAUCUAAAAUGUUAAAAUUUUUUUUUUAAGGAUAUUACAAUCUUUCGAACCAAAUAUUAGAAAUUGAAAUAAUUUAAUACCUUUGUUUGCUCAUAAUAAAAAAUAAAAAAGAAAAAAGAAAAUAGGAGUUAAGCGACUUUGAGAUCUAUGAUGCCGAGAUAUGCAAAAGCCAAGGCCCAUAAAAUAAGAUCCAUCUUCGGUAUAUCAAGCCCAAUGCUCUACCAGAGUCCCGAGAUCUAGUUUUGAUUUUUCAAGAUCCAAGUUCAGUUUUGAUCUUUCUCGCAUUCAACCAACUACUACUUUGCUGCAAGAAAAUUAAGAACAGAAAACAUAAAACAGAAGCAAGCAUAAGCUAAGGAAAAGCGAAAUGGUUAGUAGUGAUGGGAUCUUGGGGAUCAAAGAAGGAGAAAGAAUAAAAGCAGAAACUCUUAAAAGAAAGAAACGGCUAAAGAGACGAGAGAGAUGGUUGGUAAUACUUGGCGUGAUCCUUCACGCAAUUUAUAUGCUAAGCAUUUUCGAUAUCUACUUCAAAACCCCAAUUGUCCAUGGCAUGGAUCCUGUCGAACCUCGCUUCAAGGCUCCAGCGAAACGUCUCGUGCUUCUAGUAGGUAGGAUCUGCUAUUAAGUACUAUCUGUUUGAUUAUAUGUUUAAAUGAAUGAAGAUGUGAGUUUAUUUUUCAUGUUUUUUCCAUCAAUUUCAGUUCUUAAGAAAAUUUGGGUUUGAAAUUUGCUAAUUGUGCGAAAUGGGGUUUGCCCAUUUGAUAUCCACUUUAAUUAUUUACUAUAAAACAUAAAUAUAAGGAGGAGAACAUAAUAUUGGCGAGAUGGGAUUGUUUAAUUAAGUUAUACCUUUAGUUAACUUGAUCUUAAAUGUGAGUAACUGAGAAAAGCGCAUGAUCUUCUUGAACUUUAGUUCAUAGUUUGGCAUGUUAGAUUGCUUAUUGCUUAUUGAAGCAUAAUUUAUUUAUUACGAAGAACAGGGAAUGCUAAUAAAAUAAAAACGGUUGCUGGCCCUACUGGUUGUAAUUUUUAUUUUUUAAGUAUUUAAUUUUCAAAAUUUACUCAGAAACUUCAGUUCUUAGACUGCUACAACUUUUUUUUUCUCUCUCUUUUUUUUUUUUUUUUUUUUUUUUGGUUUGGUGGGGGUUGGGGGGAGGAGGAUAUUAGGGGUGUCAAAAUGGGUCUGACACACGAACACGAUUACCCUAACAUGCGAAAUAAACAGGUUAGGGUAGAAGUUAAACGGGUUACCCAUUUUUGACACAAAUAUAAACGUGUUGUGUUGCAGGUUGCCACGCGGGUUAAGCAAGUGACCCGUUUAUUUAAGAGGAAAGAGAUAAUUUUGGUGUCAAUACAAAUACUCCAAUUAAAAUCUAUUUAAACUUUAUUGUUGUAGUAAUAUUUUUUUUAUUUCAGUCAUGAAUAUUGAAAAAUCUAUGCAUUUUAUGUAUGAAAAAUUAUUUUUAAAUAUGAUUUGAAUUAAAUAGGUUAAAAUUUAAAAAUAAUAUAAGUAGGUUACAUGGGUCAUAUACAUGUCAACAUGACUCACUUAACCUGUUUAUGAUAUUAGACGGGUUACACGGGUUGUAUAUGGGUCAACGACCCACUUAACCUGUUUAUAAUAUUAGUAGACAGGUUACACGUGUCAUGUUCGUAUCACCUACCUAAUUUUCGUGUCGUGUUCAUGUCGACAAAUUUGAAACGAUUAUUAAAUGGUUCGUGUUCGUGUUGACCCUAAUUGUGUCACUCGCUAGGCGAAUCCGUGUCGAACCCGACACGCGAACCCGUUUUAACACCCCUAGAGGAUAUUGUACAGGAAAUUGUAGGUCCUUGACCUAGAGAAGUUCUCGAUUUUCCUGUGCAUAAAAUGGCUACAUUUGACCUAGGUUCUGGAAUUGAACAGCUCUAAGCUGUUUUAUAGUCGUCAGUUGUGUGUCAAGCUAUACUAAUAAUUGGGUCUCUUAUCAUAUUUCUUCUCAAUUUUUUGUCCGCAAGGUCUUUUAAUUACUUAGAAUUAUUCUUAUAUUUCUGUUAAAAUCUUUGGUUGAAAUGGCUGCAGCGGAUGGUUUACGCACUGAUAAGUUUUUUGAGCCGGAUUCGGAGGGAAAUUAUAGAGCUCCAUUUUUGAGAAGUAUAAUUAAAAGCCAUGGUAGAUGGGGAGUUUCACAUGCUCGGCCCCCUACAGAAUCAAGGCCUGGGCAUGUUGCUAUAAUUGCUGGUUUCUAUGAGGAUCCUAGUGCUGUCACAAAAGGUGGUAACUUUAUCAUCCUGUACCAUGUUAAUGAAUGAGUCAUUAUAAAUCUUCAAAUUCUUGUUCCUUUUUCAUCAACUAUAUUGCUUUAUACUGCAUGAUUGCUGAUGUUGCACCCAUCUGCUAAAGAGGUAUUUUUGCAUUUACAGGAUGGAAAGCUAAUCCAGUUGAAUUUGAUUCCGUUUUUAACCGAAGUAGGCACACAUUUUCUUAUGGAAGCCCAGAUAUUGUCCCAAUAUUCUGUGGUGCCUUGCCACACAGCACAUGGAAGAGCUACCCUCAUGAGUUUGAAGACUUUGCAACUGGUUUGUCAUAACCUGUAAUCACAAAUUCUUUUCCGUAGAAAUUUUAUUUCAUUUUUAUUUAUUCAAACAUUAAUAAACUGAUGUAACUGAAAUAAAGAAGAAUUUUAGAAGGACUACUAUAACCUAUCUCAAGUCAUAUGAUAAUAUCAAAGGAACCAAAAAUUUUUAUGUCCUAGUGCCCAGAUUCUAUAUUUCUUACUUUUGUUCAAUGCUUUAUCAGUUGAAUAGUGUUAAUGCAGAUGCUUCCUUUUUGGAUGAGUGGUCUUUUGAUCAAUUUCAGAGCCUUCUGAAUAGGUCCAAUGAAGAUCCAAAAUUGAAGGAGUUACUUCUACAAGAUAAGCUUGUUGUCUUUUUGCAUCUACUUGGCUGUGAUUCAAAUGGUCAUGCUCAUCGGCCCUAUUCAUCUAUCUAUCUCAACAAUGUCAAGGUUGUAGACCACGUAGCAGAACGCGUUUAUGCUCUUCUUGAAGAUUAUUAUAAGGACAAUAGUACAGCAUAUAUAUUUACAGCUGAUCAUGGAAUGAGUGAUAAAGGUUUGUUUCAGAAAAAAUGUGUAUUUCUACCUGAGAAUUCCAUGUGUAUCAUCAUCCAUCAAAUUUUUUUUUUUUGGGUAAUGAGGACAGUAUUCGGGAAAUGAGAAUGAUAAUUAAAUCUAAUUUGAGAAUCAAUAUGACUGGUUGGCCUAAUCUGAAAUUCACCCAAUUGACAACUUAACCACAAAGUAUUUGUUCUACAGGCUUGAAUAUUGAGCAUGAUAAGAAUGCAUCUGUUUUCAAUUCCUUAAAGUAGACUAGUUUACAUGCUUUGCUUAAAUCCAUGUAUGACCUUUGAUAAUGCUGUUCUCUAAGUUCCUCUGAUUUAUAGAGCCUGACAUAUGUUUCUACUCUUAGGUAGUCAUGGAGACGGGCAUCCUUCAAAUACUGAUACUCCUCUUGUUGUUUGGGGAGCAGGUGUCAAAUAUCCCAAGCCAACUUCGAGCGAAAACCACACUGACCAUAGCUUUCGUUUUGUUGAUGAGCAUGCCCAUGAUAUGCCAACACCUUUAGAUUGGGGCCUGAAUGGCAUUGAAAGGGUGGAUGUAAAUCAAGCUGAUAUUGCACCACUAAUGGUCAUAUUUACCCCUAUUAAAUUGUGUGUUUUGAGCCUAAUUUUAUGCUUUGAAGUCUCCUAAAUAGUUGGUGGUAGUUGAUCGUUCUUUUCCCCCCUUUUGCAGUCUACGCUUCUUGGUUUACCAUGUCCUGUUAACUCAGUUGGAAAUUUACCUCUUGGAUAUCUUGAUAUGGUUGAGGUUGGUAUAGCUGACUUCUUUGUGAUAAAUAGCAAUGAAGAUUAUCAUCUGUACUUGCAGCUAUAGUAUUGUGCAGGGAAAGCAUACUGAUAAACAUAUGUCCUGUUAACUCAGUGGCAGCUGGAGGUUUUCUGGAGGGAUAUAUAUCUCUCUUAGUUGGGGGAGAAAAAGUUCAUCCUAUCAUUGCACAAACAUGAUUAUAUAGAAAAUAAAUAUUUGGAUGAUUAUUAACUUAAUUUUACUAUGUAAGAGUUACAAAUAUACUAAUAAUUCCUUUAUGGAAUACAAGAUAGGAAGGCCUUCCUAUGAAUCAAUGUACAUAUUAAUACCAUUUCAGAACGCUAUUGAUACCAUUAAUACCUAGCCAAGAAUAAUCCUGACCAUGAUGGAAAUAACAUUUAUAUAUGAAGUCCCCCUUUGUGUAUGCCAUGGCAUGCAGGAUCAUUUUUGGAAAAUUAUUAAAUUAAUAAACAAGUCUUACUGAAAGAGAAACUGAAUUUCCUAUCCUUUAUCCAGGCAGAAGAAGUUGAAGCCGUGCUAGCCAAUACAAAGCAAAUCCUCAACCAGUUUCUUCGCAAAUCACGUAUCCUUUUCUUUUAUCAAUUUUACAUGUCAUUUAUAUCACACACUUUUUCUUGCAACAGCAUUAUGUGUUCAAUUCCUUUUUGAAAAUCUAAAUUUGUUGCUUGUUUGGAUAUACCAAGUUUGUACGAUCUAUUUGCUUAUGAUGGUGUUACUUUGAGUACUUUAUUUUUCUUUAACUGAAAUUGUUAGCUUUAAUCAAUAUACUGUAUCUACUUCCUUUUGUUCGCCAAAACCUGUUAUUCAUUUAUCCACUGUAUAAUCUUAUUAGAGUUUGUGUUGCCCAUAAUAUCUUCAAAAUGUGUCAUCUUCGAUGCUCGUGAAGGAUGUGACUAAGCUUUCUGCUUUCAUUGGUUUUCUUGACAAACUUAGAAAUAAAACACUCAAACUCGUUAUAUUUCAAGCCUUUUAAACCACUGGCUGAAUAUUCCUAUAUGUUGGAACGCAUUGAGGAUCUGAUAUCUGCAAGAGACUAUCAAACUGCAAUGAUCCUGACCCAAAAGCUCAGAAGCUUGGCACUGCAAGGCCUUCAUUACUUUCAAACAUAUGAUUGGCUGAUGCUGAUGACAGUUGUUACUCUUGGGUACCUUGGUUGGAUGGUCUAUCUCAUUCUCCAUGUGCUGCAAUCUUAUACUUCACUGGCAGAGAACAUACUUAAGGAGCAAGCUGCCCCGUGGAAAAAUAAAACUGGAAAAGUAAUUUCUAAGUAAGCUUAACCUUUUAUAUAAGGUGUAUUUAUAUCAUUAUGAAAAGGUUAAAGGAUGAAGGGAAAUAAAAAAGAAAAGAGAAUCAUGUGCAAAUUUAUCAUGUUAAAGAUAAGCAUUUCUGGUUCCAUAGCUUGCUUUUAUGUUCAGUUUCAUUUAAUUUAGAACGUGAUGCAGUGGAUUUUGCAGUUAAUGCUGUCUUUUAAUUGAUACUACAAAGUUGCCCAAUCAAAUGAAGUUUAUAUAGGUUACAUUUUCUUUCCACAUCCAGAAUUUGAUGACUCUUGAACUUUCCAAGACUCAUGCUCCUAGUCACUUUAACUUCUGUUCCCUGUAGAUUGUGCUAGCUGAAAAAUAUUAUUUUUGAUGGGCAAGCACUCAGCUGAGAAGCAAUGUGAAAGUUAUUCUUUUGUGACUAACAUCUAGCAAGAGACAAGUACAAAAUAAUGUACAAAACUUCAGAGGAAUGAGGAAAUGCCAUCAGUAGUUAAAUAACUUUCAAUUGCAAAUUAUGUGCCACUCAUGAUACUUUCUUUUCCUUUAUCUUUAUAACCAUUUUCCUAACUGUAGAUAUUCUAAAUUUUAUAUAUUCUUUUUGCUUAUUAAGUUCUCAUUCCAAUAAAUAUUAUUGUCAUAUAACAGUAUGAUCUUCAUCUUAGUUGUCACGUAGCAGUAUGGUCUGCACCUUAAAAUCUUCUAGUGAUAAACAGGGAGAAAGCCAGAAAUCUUUAUCAAGGAGGGGGGCAAAAAUAGUUCUCAUGCAAAGCAUCUGCACACUUGCAAACACAAACAACAUGCAUAUAUUAAUAUUAAUUUUAUGAACAUGGAAAAUAAAGUCAUUGAUGCGUGUGUUUGUGUGUGUGUGAAAUAUAUUAAUAUUUGGGCUUUGAAAAAAAAAAAAUUUCUUAAUUUUUCAUAAUUAUCUACAAAAUUUUGCAAUUCUUAAGAUAAAAUUUGUUGAAUGGAACAAAUUAAGUAUUUAUUUUGUAAUAAAAAUGAUAAAUUAAUUAUUGAAGCAAUCCAAUCCCUAAUUUACAUUUUUUUUAUUUUGUUUUUCAUUUUUAAAUUUUUCACACAAUAAAACUAACCGGUCAAAUUAGUUAAGUGGGAGUUUAAUUUUUAAAAUUAUAGUGCUACUUCUUCAAUUUGGCAAAAAGUAAGGAGGCAAGUCUUUUUUUUUUAAAUUGUAGAUGUAGUACUUUGUAACUUUGCCAAAAGGUAAGGGGGGCACAUUAAGUGAUGAUUGGUUUUUUACAAAUUAAGUCAUGUUGAUCUUUGCUAUGUGGUUGUUCUGUUUUUUGAAACUUGCAUUGUGUAUCUGAUAUAGCUUGUUGUCUUUGCCUCUUUCGCAGGUGUAUGUGUUUGGAUGCCUAUUAAUGGGAGUAGUUUCUAUUAUAUUAUAUAUGGAGCACUCUCCUCCUCUGUACCAUGCAUAUGUUGCAAUGACAAUGUUUCUUUGGACCCAGAUACUCGGUGAAUAUCGGUUUGUAAAGGCAUUGUGGAAAAAUUUAAGUGGGAGAAAUUUUGAUCAUGCAAUUAAACUUUUAGCCACCUGUGCUGUAUCAAUUUUAAUCCUUGAAUUCCUGGUAUAGAAAUUAAACAUGCUACUGUUUUAUUGUGAUUUUAAGUGAGCUCAUUUGUUGAUUUAUCAUUAUUAGUGAUGCUCUUUCUAUUUUGUGCAGGUGAAUAGCUUCACAGAGAGGAAGCUCUACACUUGGUGCUUCUUAAUUUCAGGAACCAUAGCUUCUCUUUAUCUUUUCAAAUCAAUUCCAUGGAGAUCUCCAAUACCAAUUUUUGUUUGCAUUGCUUGUUGGUGUCUAUCUGUUUUUACUUUGAUGCCAGCGGAAAUUCCAGACAACAAUGAACUAGUGUAAGUCACUUUUGCACUCUUUUGAUUUACUAGGUCAAUAUAAUAUAGAGGCAUAAUUUGAUUAAAAUACUGUGGAAGUGGGAGUUGUUGUUAGGAUGAUGUAAAAUGCUUACUAUCUGAUCCCUUCCUCCUAUCUCGAUCACUACAUUGAUAAUAUGUGAAUCUUAAACUACAAGUCCACCACACAUUUGCCAAUGGUCUUUGGUCCACUGAUACUAGAGUUGUCCAGGGCUGAAAGGUUAUAAAUUCGAGCAGUAGUUGGGUUCUUAUAGACGAUAGCUUUAUUGGCAAAAAAGUUUUGAGAUCCUAUACUGGCAUUGAUCCUGUGGUCCCCGAAACUCUGCUAUGAUAAGGUAUCUUGAUAACGUUAAGCUAUCACUAAAAGAGAAAAUCUUUAGUAAAACUACUUUUGCCGAAUAAUAAGGUUACUUUUCAGCUAAAGAAAUUUUUUUGCGGAGCACAAUCUGAAUUAGCUGCCAAAAUAGGUAAUCCAUACAUCAUGUUUUGUCAGUUGUGGUCUUCCUGAAAUCUAAUUCUGGAACUUUGAAGCUCUUAAGUAAUCCAACAACAAUGUUGGUUUGACUACUUUUGUCCAUUAGUUGCUAUUUCUUUCAUGGCGAUUGAACUUUUUAGAUGACUGUUCAAAAUUGUGUUUCUAGAAUUGCAAGUGGAGCUAUUAUUGUCACAAUUGGAGCAGCUGCUAGAUGGCUAGAUCAGCAUUCUGAAGGGAAUAAGUAUUGGUCAAGUCUGUGUUGUCAUGAAACAAAGAAACCCAGGCUCCCCAUGCUUUUUCAUGCACAGGUAUGGCUUGUCUUUAACUUCUGUUAAUUAGAAGAUUUUAUAGUUUCUCAACAAAUCUAGAAGUAAAUUCAUUCUUUUGCAUCAAAACUAGGCUCUGUUGGUUGGAUUAUCAUCAAUCAUGGUGUCAUUAUCAACAUCUCACAGAACAGAGAAGCAAGAGCUGCAUGCAUUACACCAGUUAAUAAAUUGGUCUCUGGCUGGUAAUGCUUUAACACUUCCAUCUUUCGCCCUUAUAAAUGCUAUAAGUGGCUUUUGUUUGUGCAGUCUGGGUUAAAUAUCAGCUUAUACAUUACAUAAUGGCUGUUAUGUAUCGGAUUUUCAGCCUACCAAUAUGAUAUUUCCCAUUAUGCAGGUUAUUGGAAAUCACAUAUACUUUUUAAAUAAAUUUUUGUAAUAAAUUAUUUCUUUGACCAUAAAUUAUCGAAUAAUUCAUUUAAUAUCUAUUUGAGUUUUGCUAAAUUUGAAAAAAUUAUUCAUGAUAGUGGCAGCUGACAGUCCAAUUCAAUCUUUUUCCAUUAAGUAUUUUCUGAUUCCGUCAUUUAAAACCUCAGUACAAACCCAAAAAUGUUGUGUGAAACUUUUGUCUUGUAUCAUUUUAACAAAUACUAUCAUUCCUUCCUACAGCUGAAUCUUAAUAACAAAUGUAUGUAAUGAUAUCAUUAUCUAAGAAUUUUUUAUUUUUAUUGUUUAUUUUUCACUUCCUUAUAAAGACAUAUGGUGGUGCACUGGCUAACUUUUAUUUUUCACUAUCAAUCAGAUCCUAUGUGCGGUCUUUAUGUGUCAAUUUGAGCUUGUAGAUAGAAGCUUUCUGGCUUGGUGGGAAGACGGGUUUGUUAAGACACUCUUUAUGAAUACAGAAAGCAUAAAAAUUUAAAUGGCAAGUAAAAUCAAGGAAGAAAGAGGGGAUGGUGGUAUUGAAAUUUUAAACUCAGAAAAACCUUAAUGGAAGAGGGUUUAUUAACUUACAAAAUUUGCAUAUUUUAGAAUAUUUCUAGCAUUCAUUUAGCUUAUGGUCUGCAUUAGCUGGCAGCAAGAAUAGACCAAAUGGCUGCACCUCCUAACUUGUUUGUGGGUUUGAUGAAAGAGUUGCACUUCUUUCCUUUGACAUGCUAGGUUUUGGGUGUUGAUCCCACAACAGCCUCCUGCCAGACCAAGCAUGUUUUUUUGAAGAGUUCUUUAGUUUUACUUAUCCAUUUUCCUUUCUUUUAGCUUUUAUAAAUGCUAUGAUAUCAUACUUCACGAAUUUAAUUUGAAUGGCAUUUCAUUUGUUGAUUAACACUCACUUAUAAUUGUAUUGUUAUAGGUUUCUCAAUGGUUCUCCCGCUUUUCUCAGAAAAUGGCCUAUUGUCACGACUCACUUCUAUUUUUCUUGGUUUUGCACCAACAUUCCUGCUUUUAUCUAUUGGGUAUUUAUGAUUUCAAAGCUAAUGCUUGUUUUACACUUUCAUGGGUGUGCACAAUGGUAAGAUAUGCUUAUGCCUUUUGCCUCCCCUUUUUUUCUGCCUUGUGAAAUACAUGCAGAUAUGAAGCUGUCUUCUAUGGUGCACUUGCUCUUGUACUUAUGGCAUGGAUACUAUUUGAGAACACACUUCUUCACUUAACGAAGGUGAAAAAAUCAUCAUACAUUAGAAACAUGGAUGAACAUGCUACAUUGGAAAAUGAUAGAUGCUUGGAACUUUCUGAUGUGAGAAUUCCAUUAAUUUUUGUAAGUCUUAAUACUUGCUUCUUAUUUUUCUCUUUCUAUUUCUUCACAUUAUUUGGUUAAACAAAUAACUGCAUGAAUGCACUGACUUUCUUGUUGUGUUAGAAUCUUCCAUCGGCACAAGAAAGCAAAUAUUUACUUUGAUACAUCCUCGUCGUCUUCUUGAUAUUCUGUUCACUGACGAAAUAUGGAUUUGAUGACUCGUUUUUUCAGAUGGUUUUGUUUAAUGUUGCUUUCUUUGGGACGGGAAAUUUUGCAAGUAUUGCAAGCUUUGAGAUAUCAUCUGUCUAUCGGUUCAUCACUGUCUUCAGUGUAAGUGAAGAUGACACUUGAGAGAUUCAAAUGGUUUUAGUUUUGAGAUCUGAUAACUGAUAUUAUCUGAUUUGAAUUGCAGCCUUUUCUGAUGGCAGCCCUUCUUAUUUUCAAGUUAUUCAUACCAUUCAUGCUUGUCAUGUAAGUAAUUUUUUAUGCUACACCUGUUCACUGGAUAAUUUUGGAAACAAAAGGGGCCUCUUUGGAAAAUCAAUUUCUAAUUUGUAAUAUCUUGUGUUAAAAUAGCAAGGAUUCAAUGGCAUAAUCUUGGUAAUUAUUUAGUUUGGUUUGACCUCCAAUGGGUAUAGUACUAAUUAGCAGGUUUUAUAGAAAUAGCUACACAGCUAUGAUAUUGGUCCACAUUUUCUUUUAGUUUUUAUCAGUUAAAAUCAACCUUUCAAGUUGGUCUUCUACUCCUUUCCUUUUCUUUUCUUCUGAUAAAUGAUUUAAUCUUCCAUUCAUUUAAAAGACAUAAGACACAAAACGUCCAAAACUCAUGAAAGAAUGAAGGUUUACAAAGAGAAAGAUUUAGACGCUCAAGGAGUUUGGAGCAACAGAAAUAUUAUUGACAAGCAUAAACUGUCAGUUGUAAGACAAUAUUUGAUUAGAAGUGGUUUAUCUAAUGUUGAAGGCCCAUUUUGACAUUAAAGGCUUCAUUUUAUAGUAGCUCAUCUGAGCUAUAUAUCUUGCAACCUAUUAUGCAAUCCCAUAGUUCACUCGUUUCUUUUCCCUGAGAAAACUAUGCUUUUACUGUAUGUGGAAACUUUUCCUUUUGUCCCUCUCUCGUUACAAUUGCUUAAGCUAUUCAAGAAAUUAAGUUUUCUCUAUGAGGAAUCUAAAGAUAAAGUUGUAGGUAUUGUUUGGCAGGAGACUGAAAAAAUGGAAAAUUGUUAUAUGGUUGAUUGAAUCAUAGGAAAGUAAUGGAAGGAGACAGAGUGUAAUGGAAUUAUGCUUUAAAACUUGAAAAGCAAAAUAUGGAUGGCAUUUUAGAAAGGAAGAACAAAGUUUUCUCAAAUGCCCUCUCAGUUAUAUUUAGCCAAUCAAUUUUGAUUCUAGGCAACAAGAUUUUGCAUGUGAAAAUCUUUCUAUGAAUAGAUGUUGCAACUCAAAAUUUAUGCCCAUUUCCAAGUGAAAUAAUUACAAUUUUUCUUAUUCAGUAAAAUAUGCUCUAUGGUUUUGUUGACUGAAGCAUAUUGAUUGCCUUUAUUAUUAUUUUGUCUUCAUUCCCGUAAUAUCUCUGUCACUCUGAGCAUCCAAUUAACCACCUGCGGCUGAUGAGCUACUUGCUAAUAGAAUGUUUUGCUCUUUGGAGUUUUUGAAAUCUGAAAAUUUGGUUGAUUUCCUUUCAAAUGUACCUAACCACUAAGGUAAGGUGUGGCAUUUUCAGGUGGGAAACAGUCUUUUUAAUUUGUUUGUGCAGCCUAACUUUGCAUUUGGAUAAGUUUCUAAUAUGGAGUUGUUUGCUUAUGUGUGCAUCGUACGUAUAUACACACUACUGUUUUUGGUUGAGAUGACAAAUGUCAAUUGGUGCACAAUGCAGAUGUGUUUUCAGUGCAAUAACCAAACUUCUUCGAGUUCCACGGUUGGGAUGUUAUUUUCUGGUUAUAUUAUUUUCAGACGUGAUGACUAUUCACUUCUUCUUCCUGGUAUGAUUUCUGCUCACUCUGGCAGUCUUUUUGAUCUAAUUAUUUCUAGUCUGGUUGAUUUGCAUCAUACUUGUCAAGUUACUUGGCAGCAACUUGUUUAAAGUACAUGAACUAUAUGUUAUGUAUGCAUAUACUUAUGGAUGGGUGUCUCGCUUGUUGGGAUGGGGACAUAUUCAUGUUAACAAGGACUUAGUUCCUCAACAAUUUAAUCUCUGACUACAUGAUUUUGCUUUUCGACUGUUCAACUAUAUAUGCAUACCUGAGCUUGAUUUCAAGCUGCAUGUUAUUUGCAUACUCAGAAAGUGAAACUCCAGAUUUUUAUUAUUUUAGGCUAUAUGUCGAUCGCCAAGCAUUGCGCUCCAAACUUUUGCCGAUAAACACUUCACUUAAACUUUCUUUGCUGUCAAGACUUUGAGAAGAGAGUCAACUAAAAUCAUUCUUAUUGAUUUAGAGAAUAUGAAAACACCAUUACCAUUUUUUCAUUCUUGAAAACUUACUGACUUUGUAUUCCUGAUGACAGGUUCGAAACACGGGAAGCUGGAUGGAAAUCGGUAACAGCAUCAGCCAUUUUGGAAUUAUGAGUGCUCAAGUUGUAUUUGUGCUAUUACUUUUUGCCCUCACAAAUGUAUACACAAAAGACAUCCAAAUUAGGUCAGACAGCUCAUCCUCUAGGAAAGCAGUGUAAGUCACCUUGAAAUUAUAAAUUUUGGACAUCACAAUUGACGAUAGGUGACCUUUUCCAUUCUUACAGUAAAGAUUAAGAGCUGCAAGCUGCAUAACAAUCGAUUCUUUUUAACCCCUACUUCCUGUGUCAUUAUUGUCUCUCUCUCUCUCUCUCUCUCUCUCUCUCUCUCUCUCUCUAUAUAUAUAUAUAUAUAUAUAUAUGUAAAAUUUUUUUCCAGGGUUACGAAAUGUGGAAAUUGGUUCAUAAUACUUGUCAUAUUUGAGAAAGUAGUUUAUUCUAAAAUACUUGUCAAAUUUAUAGUUUCAAGGAGUAAUAAUUUUUUUUUUUUUUCUCUUUGUAUAUGACCAAUAAUUAUUAUUUUAUCUUAAUGGUUUUCAUAGAGAAUUAGUAUUAAAUUAAGAGUAAUAUAGUGAAUUUAAUCGAUAAUUUGUAAUUUAAACAAAUUUUAUAGUUUACUUAAAAAAUUUGAAAUUCCAAAUAUAAUAAGUAUUAUGAAAUAGAGGUAGUAGUUACUUAUUUUUUGUAUUUAUUGGAAUAUUGAGCUGCAGUUAAUUCUUGCAUUAAGCAUCUGUUGGGCAACUAUCAUGUUAAAAUACUAUUUAUUUUUGAAGAGGACUUAAUUUAGUUUUUAGAGUUAGAAGAAAUGAAUGUCGGAACUAUUAGUUAUUAAAAUAGCUAAUAACUAUAAAAAUAACUAAUUUCGCCGAAUUAAUUAGUUCUAGAUAAACCAAAACGUUAUUAACUUAUAAUCAUGACUUGCUUGAUCAAAAAAUGUGGAAAGCAAUGCAAGUCUGGCAACAUUGUUGAGAAAAGAACUAAACGACAAUUAAUUACUAGUCAAUGAACAGUCAACAAUAAGAGAAAAUAACUAAAUGACAAUUAAUUACUAAUCACUGAACAAUCAACAUUGUUCAGAAACAUCCCAGAAAUAUCCACGGUGGUCAAGGUCUAGGUCUUCUGUUCUUCUACCAUGCACUCACGAGGAAGCAGCUUCUUCUUGUACCAAUUUACCCAUACAACUUUCCUUUAAAGAAAAAAAAAGAAAAAAAAUUCAAACACAAAACCCAACUUUAUAAUAAAUUUUAAUCUAAUUUCUUAAUAUUUUCUCUCUCUGAUUAUGAGCAUUCACAAUAUUAUUUGGAAAUUAAAUUUCGCCAAAGUUACUUUUGCAUUCUUACUCUUUAGUCCUUUUUAAAGUAACUCCUUUAAUUACUAAAAUAUUAUGAAUAGGCUUAAUAUGUUAAUUCAAACAUGUCACACAUAAAUGAGGAAAAAUUCAUUGUUGGUUACUCAUACAUGAAUUUAUAACUUUCACAAGCAAAAAAUCUAUUCCCAAAUGCAUAAAUUCAUAUCUAAAUUUGUAAUUUUAAAUCUUAUGUCACCCUAAAUUUUAUUGAUAAUCUAUUGUAUAUUUAAACAGGUAAAUUUUGAUAAUAUUACACAUAUUUUCAUACUAAUAAUAAUAUUAAUAAUUUUUAGAAUUUUUUAUUUUUAUAUAUAAAAUAUUGAUUUGAUACGUAGUUAGCAUAACUAUAGACACAAUAAAUUUCACAUUUUUAAUUAUUUAAUUGAUUUAAUUUUUCAAAUUAAAUUGUUUAAUUCGAUAUUUAUAAUUUUAUAAAUUGAAGUGUAUGAACGGAAAUUCCCACGUUACAGUCUAUAUAUAUAUAUAUAUAUAUCUAUANNNNNNNNNNNNNNNNNNNNNNNNNNNNNNNNNNNNNNNNNNNNNNNNNNNNNNNNNNNNNNNNNNNNNNNNNNNNNNNNNNNNNNNNNNNNNNNNNNNNNNNNNNNNNNNNNNNNNNNNNNNNNNNNNNNNNNNNNNNNNNNUAUAUAUAUAUAUAUAUAUUGACCUGCACGUUGACUUAGUCUCCUAUAAAUUACUGCUGAGUUUGGAAAUGCAUUUCAAUCUCGUUGUCAAGCAGACCUCAACCAAAGAAAUGAACCAACUUUCGUCGUAUGUACAACGUUCUCAUCUUUACUUGUUUUAAGCAAUAAUUAUUCUUUGCUUCUUUUAACCAACAAUUACAGAAAGACAAGAAUUCAUCACUUUAUUACUUCUUAAAGUUUAAGUUCUUUUUCUUUUUUUUCUUGUGUUGUUGUUUGCAGAUUUACCGGUGGAUUAGAACUGGGAAAUUUAGUGGUUGGUUCUAAUUUACUCUGUUUUUCGUGGGCUGCAAUCUCUGCUCUUCAAGCUGAACUGAACCAGUAUCAAGAUCAGCAGUCUUUAUCUCUGAGAUGCAGAGUUUAUAAACGAGCAAAUUAUACCAUUGUUGCUUUGAUAACUUCACCUUCUUGUACGAUUCAUCAUCUUCACCAGCUAGGGGGAGAUUUGGUUUCAUCUGAAACUCUUAAGGAAAAUAACUUUACUCUGUUUGAAUUUUUAUGUUCUAAAGGAAACCCAUCAUUCUCAAUUCAUAGAGCAGCAAUUACCCUCUUUUACCAAUAUUUAAGUGAUCUCUCUCAACUGAAAGAUCAGGUACCUUCUGUUUUUAUACUCGCUAAGUUUGUUUAAUUGGUCAAGCUCAUUCUUAAUAAAUAUCAAUGUUUUAAAUAUUAUUUGAAGUUUAAGAGGAGGCUGAUUAGAGAUUUUUGAUUGUGUGUGUGCGUGUAUUAUGUAAAUUAGUUGGAAGAUUGAUUACUGACUUGUUCUCAUUUUAUUUUCUUUUCUCGAGUGAAUGAUAUGUUAGUUGCUCUUUCUCUAGAAACAUCAAAUGACUGAAUACAAAACCGGUUAAUUAGAGAUUUUUGGUACAUGGGUUUUUUUGAAUGAAUUGCUAUCAAGAAAAACACCAUAUUAGAAAUGUUAAUUCAGUCCUUAAAAUUUGUUUUUUGGGGUAAAUUUCACUCAUUUUAAUCAUAGAAGCUUCAAGAUAGCUAAAAACAAAACACUUCCAAACUACUUCUCCAGCAACAUUAAAAAUUGAGUUUUUCUAAAAGAUCAAAUUCAACUCCAAUUCCAAAGAGACUAUAUAUGUUGUCUUAGUUGAAAGAUUGGUCAAUGACUUGUUCUCAUUUAGUUGUUCUUUUCUUGUGUUUAUGAUUUGUUAGUUAGUCGAUUCAACCACUGGUCAAUUAUUAACAGACACUCCAUUGAUUAUUACUGGAAACUCUUUGGGUGGAUCAAUAGCUUCUUUGUUUAACUUAUGGCUGCUAGAAAGUAUCGAUCGAUCUUCCACCAGGCGUCCUCUAUGCGUCACAUUUGGUUCACCUUUGAUUGGCAACUUAGGCCUUCAAGGAGCCAUUUUAGAGCGACCUACAUGGAAUUCUUGCUUCUUUAAUGUGGCUGCCAAUCAAGACCCAGUUCCAAGCCUAUUUGUCCCAUCAAUCUCUCCUCAACCUUUAGCCUCAACUCCACAAACUGUUCUUUAUAGGCCUUUUGGUCCAUUUCUCUUAUGUUCUGAAUCAGGAUGUACUUGUGUUGAUGACCCUGAAGUAGUUUCUCAUUUAUUAGAAGUAAUGGGUUUGGAAAGUAGAAGAAGUCAAGUUUCUGCUGAAUAUGGAGCAUUAGUGGAGAAUCUAAAAGAAAGAUUUAUCUUGAGAGGAAGUUCAUUGCUUGGUAUAUCGGGCAUGGAUGCAGGCAUAUUUCUACAGCUAGAAGCAAUUGGAGAUAAAAGGAUCCAGGUAACUGAAUCUUGCCCUAAUAAGCUAUGCUUUUUACAUAUUUUGUGAAUAGAACCGAAGAAUGACUUUAACACACUAUUAACUUACCAGAAGUUUCUUACUUACUGUUAAAGGAGCGCAUAUAGAAAUGAUAUUUAUGACUUUCUGCUAAUGCCAAAGGGCUUGAGAAUUUCUGCUCAAGUAACAAUCUGAUGUCUGUUUUCCCGCCUAUUUCUGCUAUAUGCUUUUGGAUUUUCAGAAAGCUAGAAUUCAAUCCAACUUUUUUUUCUCAUCUUCUUAGCAGCAACAGCAGCACGACAUGGACAUUGCUGACUUGAUUAAAAAAUUGAAACAUAGGGAAAGAAUUUGUGUUUUAACUAAAAGGAAAGGCUUGAAUCGGAGCAGAAAACUAAAUGAUAUAAAGAUAAAAAUGGCCUACCUAGAAUGGUACAAGAAGAGUUGCAACACUAUCCCAAAAAAAAACAAGAAGAGUUUCAAGGCUGACUUAAUAGGUUACUAUGAUAGUUAUAGAGACCUUCUUCAGUGUCAUGACAAAAAGGUUACUAUGUAUAAGAAAUUUCUUACAGCAUAUUGGGAAGACAUGGUGGAAGAAGCCGAGAAAAAGCCUCACAAAGAAGGAUCAUUCUUACUUCUGACCUGGCUUUUUGCCGGAACAAAUUAUAGAAGAAUGGUUGAACCUCUUGAUAUAGCAGAGUACUAUAGAGCUGGCAAAAGAAACUACGAGAGUCAAGGAAGGUCUAAACAUUACAUUCUAUUGGAGAAGUGGGCAAAAGAGGGUGCAGAGAAACCUGCAAGUGCUCCAACGAACAAAAAGAAACAAAAUGUGGCUGGUAUAUUGACAGAGGAUUCUUGCUUCUGGGCAAAGGUGGAGGAAGCUCUUAUUUCAAGUGAAUUGUUGAAAGAUGCAACAUCCAGUGUAAUAGACAAACAGUCAUCAAGAGAGUACCUAAUUAACUUUGAGGCUUAUCUAAUGGAACAAAUCAAGAACUAUGCAGUAUCUCCAGAGAUUUUCUUGCAAAAAAGCACUUUUAUGAAAUGGUGGAGUGGGUUUCAGGAAAUUGCCUCUAAUGCUUUACUCAUUGACUUUAUGAAGAAUUGCAGAUAUGUCCAAUAUGAGAAAGGAUGCUUUUAGCUCUCACGCUGAACCUAGAGUCCUAGAUUGUACUUGGUUGAUCAAAAUAAAUAUGGGUGUUUAAUCUCAGAAUUGAGUGAUAUGAAAUGUCUAUGUGAUGAUCUCUCUUUCCUUUCCUCUUUAUCUAUUCAAUCUGUUUUUUAAAUUUUAUACCUUUACCAUUUAAUUUUUUGGCAACCAUCAUUCAAAGAGAUGAAGUUUUAGGAGAGUUUGAAAUAGUGAAGCUUAAUUGUUCUAGGCUUCUAGCAAUAGUGAAGCAUUGAUCGCUUCGCUUGUGCAGCUGCUAAACAUAAUUCAUUUCCCAUCUCCACAGAGUCGGUAACAAGUUGCUAUGUGAAGUUAAAAAUUUUAAUAAUCCUUCCUCUUGUUGAAGAAAUGGUUCCAAUGAGUUAUCUUGUUCAAGAAAGGUGAAAUCAAGGAUUCGUCUAUGAUUGGAUAUUACAGGCUUUUUAUCAUGUUGUGACGUGGUUUGUACUUGUGUUUUUAAAGAUUCUUGCUAGGAAGAUCAAGUAGUUUUUGUGUCCUUUCACUUUACUGUUAGUGAUCAAACAGCUUCUGUAAAAAGAGUAGAGCAGAAAAUGUUUGUACUGUUACAGGGUCAAGUUCUGCAGAUGCAUUAUCAAGAAACUCAAAGGUGAAUUCAUGAUAAAAGCCUAAGAUUCAGUUGCUUAGGAUUCUUCAAGAUUUUGGAAACUAAUGGUAUUUGAUAUAAUGAAAUUUGCAAACAAGAAUUAACAGAAUUUGAGAGAGUUUACGGAAUAAAUGAGUACUUUUUUUAAAAAAAAUUUGUUAGAGCCUUUUAUCUGCAGAAAUAAUACUGCGGGCUAUACAAUAUAUAUAACGGACAACCAUUACUUGACUGAACAUAAUAAAACUACUACCUCUCACUCCUAAAGUAAAUAAAAAAAUCAAUCAAACCAUUACCUAAUUAGCAUAAUAAAUGAGUACUUCCACUGAGCAUUAAUUAUUUUUUAAAUGGUCAAGUAUCAGUCUGUCAAUACUCAGUAAUAUUACCAUCAGUAUCCAUAUUUUACUUUGGUAUAUUGGAAGAAACCCGUUGAAAGAAAUGGGAGAGUUUAGCUGUUCACCUACUACUCUGUGAAACUGAAACAAGUGCUCAAUGACAUGGCAAUAGUUCAAUUUAUCUCUCAAUUAGGUUAUUUUAAAUUUGUCCAUAUUCAAUUCCUCAAACAAAAAAAAAAAAAAAAAAAAAUUGUCCAUAUUAAAUAUAUAUAUAUAUAUAAUAAAUAAUAUAUUUUUUCAUUUUUUGUAAUUUUGCUGUAUGGAACUUUUUCCAUGUAACGUAAGAUGUAUUUUGUCCUUUUAAUCCUAUUAAAAUGAAUCAAUACAAUAUUGAGUUGGAAUUUGGCUGGAUUUGAUUGGUUGGUUGUCGUUUUGCUUCUUUAUAUAUAUAUAUAUAUAUAUAUAUAUUAAUAAUCACUCUCUAUUCCAUUGUUGAGAUCCUCUGUGCAACACACUUCCUAUUCUACCUGCACUACAACUAUCAUCUCCUUCACUUUUCUCUCUUAAUUUUUCUUCCGAAAAUAUUUUCAUUAACUAACUAAAACAUGGACUCUACAUAUUUACAAGUCUAAGAAAAAGCUCAAUUUCCAAUUAAUUAAUUAAUCAAAGCCCAUAAAAAUAAUAACAAGCCCAAUUUUCAAUUAAUUAGUCAAAGCCCAUAAAAAUCAUUUUAUGGGUUUAACACCAAAUUUUAGUAUUUUGAAAGUUACUAUAAACGUGGAAUACAUUGUUUAACUCUCGAAUUUUGAUAAAAAAAUAUUGAGACACUUUAAAUUUUAAAAUCGACCUUCUGAAAUUCACAUUGUCACCUUUUAUAAUAAUUUUUACACCACUUUCCACUAGUAACAAUAAUUUUAAAAUUUUUUACUUUUAUAUGCAAAAUAUUAAUUUGAUCUUUGAUUUAUAUAUCUCUUGAAAUAAUAAUUUUUAUAUUUUUAACUAUAUUAAGCAUGUUAAUCAAUAUAAUUUUAUAAAAUUAAAGUGUAUAAUAAAUAUAAUUCAAUAAGCUAAAAUAUUUAACAUGUCAAAAUAAAAUUUAAAAGUAUGAUAAAACUUUUCAUAACAAGUGUAGAAUGUAUUGAGCUAGAUUUAAAGACAGGGAAUCCACAAAUAAUUUGAAUUAAGUAAAAAUAUGGACACCAAACUAUUGAAGAUUUGCAAAAGAAUAAAAUAUUGCAUAAAAUAUGUUAGUCAGUAUCCUGUUUCAAAAUUUAAAUCGUUUAAUGUUUUUACAUAAAAAUCGAUAAAGCAAUUAUUCUUUAAAUUACAAUAAAAUCAAUAGUAAUUAGAUCAAAUUACUUUUUAUUUCAAAAUUAAUAUUAUAUCUAAUAUAAAUAAAGAUAAAAUUGAAAAAAAAAAUAUUAUUAAUUAAAAUAUUUAAAAUUACUUAUAUUUUAAGAUAAAAAAAAAAGAAUAUUUUUGUCAAAGAGACAGAGAACUAGAAAGGAUAGACAUCAAUCAUCCACAGAAGAAGCUACGAAAAUUAUGAUAUGAGCUCACAAAUCACAACUAAGAAACAGGCAAAUGUGGACCAUAGUUUGGCAAAAUUGUAGCUGUGAAUAAGCUGUAACCAAAAUGAGCUGUUUAAGUUAAAUUUUGGCUAUAAAGUAUAAACUAACCACAUGCUUUUUUUCAAAAGGUGGGACCACUCUUGCACAUGCAAAUGUCCACCUCAUUGAUCAUCUUUUUUUUUCUUUGAUUUUCCCAAUGCCUUCGUUUUUUUCCUAUAGGGAUUUUCCUUUUUCACCUUCUGCUGCUGCUACGGUACAAGCAGUAGAAGUAGAAGACAAUAUCUUUUUGUUUCAGUAAUAGUUUAUAUAAACAGGACAAGGGCAAUGAAUUUUGAAAGGACACUUUUUAUGAGCUCCAAAUCAAGGGUAUGAUUGAACAAGUCAAGUCAAUUUUGUGCUCCAUGUGUGAGUUAAGAGUGAGCAUUUGCAUUGAGUUAAACCGAACCGGAAAAACUAAAUUUCUAAAAUAAUAAUCAAAAAAAGAAUAAGUAUAUUUUUAAUGGUGGUUCAACAAAAACCACAGAGCAUUCGGCUACUUUAUGGUAUGGAAAAGGAACCUGACCUAACAAAAGAUAAUUUGGUUUUUUUUUUUUUAUUAUUAAAAAUGAACCAAAUUAAUUAAAGGUUUGAGAUAAUUUAUAUCAUUUGACUCUAUGACGUCAUUCUCGCUCGAGGGCGCCCUUGAGAAAAAUCCGUCACCAAUUCAACCAAAAAGUAAAGUUCAAAGAGAAUAAUGGUGAGGAUAUUGUUGUUAGCAGUGGGGAUCAAGGUCCACCACCUAAAUUAUCCUUUAAGGAUUGUCUGUUAAUGGAACCUAGCGUGAGUGUGGAAUCUAGGGCAAGCUUAAACCCGCACUUUGAGAAUACUGAAAGUGUAACAUCCCUUCCCAGUCCACCCGUUAACUCAAAUGAACCGAGCCAAGACGCUACAAUCUGGUUGACCCUAUGUCCUUUCAUGCUAAUAUCAUUCUGUGUGCUGAAUUCGGCCCGACUUGACUCGACUCUAUGCAACGACUCAAUUCAGUAGGAUGUCACAGAAUGUGAUAGUGACGCGGACAAGGACAUGGCGAAUGGGGAUGAUACUUCGAGUAUUAAUAGUCAGGAGGAGGAAGGUAGAGCUAGCCAUGAUGAUGUUCCUAACGAUAGCCAGAACACUAGUUGGAGUGUGGAGGAUAUUAGGGUGGAUAGCUUAGGGCCCUUUCUACAGAUUACCCUUUCGGAUGAGGCUAGAGAUCUUAUUUGUAGGACUUGGCGGAAUGCUGUCGUUGUCAAAUUGUUAGGAUGAAAUAUAGGCUAUAAGGGUUUCUACACAAUGAUUCAAGCUUUGUGGAAACCUUUUAGUGGAUAUAAAGUUAUUGACCUAACUAAUAACUUUUUCUUGCUCAACUUUGACAGACCUUCGGAUCUUUAUAUGUCCUCCUAAAUGGGCCGUGGUUGAUUUAUGGCCAUUAUUUGAUUGUACAACCUUGGAGUCCGUAGUUCUGCACCAAAGAUGACACGCUUUCGUCAAUGUGGCUUUGGGUUCGUUUUCCUGACAUGCCAUUACACUAUUAUAACAAAAGGGUCCUAAGAACUAUAGUUGGAUGUGUGGGGAAACUUAUGCAUAUAUACUACAAUACAGAGGAGUUAAAAAGAGGUAAAUUUGAUAGAGUGGCUGUGGAGAUUGAUUUGAAAAAGCCAUUAGUAUCCAAAUUUGAAAUUGAUGGGCAUACUCAAAAGAUAGAAUACAAAUAUUUGCAGAAUAUUUAUUUCACGUGUGGUUGCUUUGGUCACACAAGGGACAAAUGUCCUAAGAUUUUAACUACAGCUCCAAUGGAGGAUGGUAGUAAUGCAUGCAUGCAACCAGUACCUCCUGUUGCAGGUCAUAGGGCUGAUAGUGAAUUAUUUGGGGAAUGGAUGGUGGCUCCAGCCAAGCGUUGGGGAAGAGCUUCCAACAAGGAAAGUGCAAGGCGAUUGGAUCCUAUCAUUGCAGUGCAGAAUAAGGACGAUCUUGGGUUUCGCUUUUAGAUUUUGGCUAACCUUCCGCACGAGGAUAAAGAUGUGCAAGAUAUGGAAGAUAUAAGGAUUCCUAGUGCUAUCAGUCAUGGUAGCAGGCGGGAUUCUAGUCCUACUGUCUCUAGAGUGAUGGACUCUCAAUUGUCUCUGGAUUAGACCAAUCGUGUAAGGGCCAAGCCCAUCAAGGUACCCCGACUAGACAUAAAUAAGAGAAAGGAGAAAGAACAUGGGGGGAUAGCCUAAUGGUUUGAUGUGCAAGCCACUAUAGUCCUGAAGCCUACAUUUGACAAUGAUCCCAUUUAGAAUUCUAAUUGGAUUAAUGUUCCUAUUUCUUUAAAUGAGAAUCAUACUGCUAUAGCCAUCAAGGAUUCCUUGGCCUAUAGUUUACCAGCUAUGGCUAAGGGGAAUAGUCAAGAGCUCUCUUUAGAUCUCCCACUUCGGUCUGAACUUUUUAAUUUUAACAAACGAUCUCCAGAUCCUAGGAAGGGCACAUGAAUGAAGAGCAAAAGGCCUACUUUCAAACGUAAACCUCCCCUUCCUACCCUAGCGGAUUUUGUUCCCUUAGGAGAUGCUAUGAAGAAGAUCUCAGAGAAUUUGCAUAUUGCAGGUCAAGAGGGAGCAGCAUCCAUUGAUGAUACCAUAGAAGAGUUUGAUAAGGAAGCCGAGGAUCAAAGGGUCCCUAAUUCUCAAUAAUUGGUUUUUAUGGAGUUCGAAUUCCUUGUGUGGAAUUGCCAGGGGGUAUCCAGUAAAAGGUUUAGUCGGGUUGUUAAAGAGUUAUUGCCAUGCACAACAUCUCUUUGUUAGUAGUCGUGGAAACCAGGAUUAGUGGUGUUACAGCAGAUAAAGUUAUCUCGAAUUUAGGGUUCCCUUUCUCUCAUAGGGAUAAAGCGUGAGGUUUAUCGAGUGGCAUUUGGGUUUGUGGAAGUCAAGUUUCUGUUCUAGUUACCCAUAAUCAGUUUAUUGACCCUAUGUCCUUUCAUGCUAAUAUCAUUCUGUGUGCUGAAUUCGGCCCGACUUGACUCGACUCUAUGCAACGACUCAAUUCAGUAGGAUGUCACAGAAUGUGAUAGUGACGCGGACAAGGACAUGGCGAAUGGGGAUGAUACUUCGAGUAUUAAUAGUCAGGAGGAGGAAGGUAGAGCUAGCCAUGAUGAUGUUCCUAACGAUAGCCAGAACACUAGUUGGAGUGUGGAGGAUAUUAGGGUGGAUAGCUUAGGGCCCUUUCUACAGAUUACCCUUUCGGAUGAGGCUAGAGAUCUUAUUUGUAGGACUUGGCGGAAUGCUGUCGUUGUCAAAUUGUUAGGAUGAAAUAUAGGCUAUAAGGGUUUCUACACAAUGAUUCAAGCUUUGUGGAAACCUUUUAGUGGAUAUAAAGUUAUUGACCUAACUAAUAACUUUUUCUUGCUCAACUUUGACAGACCUUCGGAUCUUUAUAUGUCCUCCUAAAUGGGCCGUGGUUGAUUUAUGGCCAUUAUUUGAUUGUACAACCUUGGAGUCCGUAGUUCUGCACCACAGAUGACACGCUUUCGUCAAUGGUGGCUUUGGGUUCGUUUUCCUGACAUGCCAUUACACUAUUAUAACAAAAGGGUCCUAAGAACUAUAGUUGGAUGUGUGGGGAAACUUAUGCAUAUAUACUACAAUACAGAGGAGUUAAAAAGAGGUAAAUUUGAUAGAGUGGCUGUGGAGAUUGAUUUGAAAAAGCCAUUAGUAUCCAAAUUUGAAAUUGAUGGGCAUACUCAAAAGAUAGAAUACAAAUAUUUGCAGAAUAUUUAUUUCACGUGUGGUUGCUUUGGUCACACAAGGGACAAAUGUCCUAAGAUUUUAACUACAGCUCCAAUGGAGGAUGGUAGUAAUGCAUGCAUGCAACCAGUACCUCCUGUUGCAGGUCAUAGGGCUGAUAGUGAAUUAUUUGGGGAAUGGAUGGUGGCUCCAGCCAAGCGUUGGGGAAGAGCUUCCAACAAGGAAAGUGCAAGGCGAUUGGAUCCUAUCAUUGCAGUGCAGAAUAAGGACGAUCUUGGGUUUCGCUUUUAGAUUUUGGCUAACCUUCCGCACGAGGAUAAAGAUGUGCAAGAUAUGGAAGAUAUAAGGAUUCCUAGUGCUAUCAGUCAUGGUAGCAGGCGGGAUUCUAGUCCUACUGUCUCUAGAGUGAUGGACUCUCAAUUGUCUCUGGAUUAGACCAAUCGUGUAAGGGCCAAGCCCAUCAAGGUACCCCGACUAGACAUAAAUAAGAGAAAGGAGAAAGAACAUGGGGGGAUAGCCUAAUGGUUUGAUGUGCAAGCCACUAUAGUCCUGAAGCCUACAUUUGACAAUGAUCCCAUUUAGAAUUCUAAUUGGAUUAAUGUUCCUAUUUCUUUAAAUGAGAAUCAUACUGCUAUAGCCAUCAAGGAUUCCUUGGCCUAUAGUUUACCAGCUAUGGCUAAGGGGAAUAGUCAAGAGCUCUCUUUAGAUCUCCCACUUCGGUCUGAACUUUUUAAUUUUAACAAACGAUCUCCAGAUCCUAGGAAGGGCACAUGAAUGAAGAGCAAAAGGCCUACUUUCAAACGUAAACCUCCCCUUCCUACCCUAGCGGAUUUUGUUCCCUUAGGAGAUGCUAUGAAGAAGAUCUCAGAGAAUUUGCAUAUUGCAGGUCAAGAGGGAGCAGCAUCCAUUGAUGAUACCAUAGAAGAGUUUGAUAAGGAAGCCGAGGAUCAAAGGGUCCCUAAUUCUCAAUAAUUGGUUUUUAUGGAGUUCGAAUUCCUUGUGUGGAAUUGCCAGGGGGUAUCCAGUAAAAGGUUUAGUCGGGUUGUUAAAGAGUUAUUGCCAUGCACAACAUCUCUUUGUUAGUAGUCGUGGAAACCAGGAUUAGUGGUGUUACAGCAGAUAAAGUUAUCUCGAAUUUAGGGUUCCCUUUCUCUCAUAGGGAUAAAGCGUGAGGUUUAUCGAGUGGCAUUUGGGUUUGUGGAAGUCAAGUUUCUGUUCUAUUUAACCAUAAGCAGUUUAUCCAUUUGGAGCUUCAGGUGUUGGGGUAUCUUACUUUCUGGUUCACCCUUAUAUAUGGUAGUCCCAACCUUAUCGUUAAACGGGAGCUCUGACAGCAUUUAUUAAAUAUUCAUUCUCGUUGUUCUUGUCCGUGGGCGAUUGCUGGUGAUUUUAACAUUGUCCUUCGACUCAAUGAGAAAUAAGGUACAACUAACGAUACUGCUUUUUGUACUCAUUUCAGAGAUUUAUUUGACAUAACAUGGUUGCAAGAUAUGGAGUACCAUGGCUCGAAGUUCACCUGGAAAAGGGGCUUGGUCUAUGAGCGGCUUGACAUAAUGAUUUGUAACAACUCUUGACUUUCUUCUUUUUCGGGGACUAGUGUUACUCAUCUUCCUAGGGUUAAGUCGGAUCACUCGCCUAUUCUUAUUGGCCUUGGUCGAGAUAUUGGGACAUUCUAUCAUUCUAAGAGUUUUAAGUUUCUUAAUUUAUUGCAAAAUAAGGAGGAUUUUGCUGAUGUGGUACUCAUAACUGGCGAAUAAGGGGAGAUAUUGUGCGGAAUCUUAGUGAUCUUGUGAUGUCUUUGGGCCAGUGGCAUAAAACUUAUGUUGGAAGUAUCCGUAAUAGGAAGAGAUCAUUGUUGGCUCCUAUUGAUGGUAUCCAGCAUGCUUUAGAGAGAAGGCAUAGAGAGAAUUUGGGCGAUCUUGAAUCAUUUAAGGGAGGACCUUGAGCAGCUUUUGACGGAGGAAGAAUUAUAUUAGUGUAAAAAAUCUAGAAGCAAAUGGCUUUCUUAUGGGGAUAGGAAUACAAAGUAUUUUCACGCUAUCACCAUGAAAAGGCGUCGAAGCAAUAGAGUGUUACAUUACAAGGUCCUGAUGGUUUAUGGGUUUUAUGAUCAAAGUGUAAUCUGGGCUUAGGCUUUAGAGCAUUUCGCUAACUUGUAUACAGAGGAUCGAGACUUUUGUUAUCUUGUGAGUUUCUCGAAUUGGUUUUCCCCACUCUCUGUGGAGGACCGAGAGAAUUUGGCCAGUAAUGUCACCAUGGAGGAAGUGCGGCUUGCACGGUUUCAAAUGGACCCUUCUAAAGUUCCGGGUUUUGAUGGCUUCAAUGAUUUCUUUUUCCAAAAAAACUAGACUAUUGUGGGUCACGAUAUCUUCAAAGUUAUGAAUGCAGUCUUUUUUGGGGAGUUUGACUUGGCAGAAUUGAAUAAGACGUUAAUUAUUUUGAUUCCUAAAAUCCAGCAGCCGACUAAUAUUUCUCAAUUCCGUCCCAUUAGUUGGUGCAACACUGCAUUUAAAGUGGUCACCAAAGUUGUUGCUAAUCGCCUUAAACCUCUUAAGACUAAGCUGGUGGGGUCGGAGCAGGUCAGUUUUGUCGCUGGGAGGCACAUAACUGAUAACAUUGUUAUAGCACAAGAAAUUAUUCACUCUAUGAAAGCUAAAAGUUCGGGUAAAAGGUGGAUGGCUAUAGAAGUAGACUUGGAGAAGGCGUAUGACAGGUUGGGAUGGAAGUUCAUUGAGUAUACCCUAUUUGAUAUUGGCUUUCCCAGCGUUAUCAUUCACGUUAUUAUGUAGUGUAUUUCAUCUUCAACCUUAAGCAUUGCUUAGAAUGGAUCGCAGUCUGAGUACUUUAAACUUCUCGUGGUGUGUGACUAGGGGAUCCCCUUUCACCUUAUAUUUUUGUUCUCUGUAUGGAAAGGUUAUCUCAUGAUAUUUAGUCUGCUGCUUUGGAUUGUCAAUGGAAGCCUAUUCGGAUUAGUCGGCAGGGGUCAUCUCUCACUCUUUUUUUUUUUUUUUUGCCGACGACCUUUUCUUAUUUAUUGAAGCCUCAACCACUCAAAUGGAUAUUAUUUUGAAAGUUUGUUCAGAAUUUGCUAUGUCGUCGGGUCAGAAAAUUAAUAUGGAAAAAAAUUUAUUAUAUUUUUCCAAGAAUACUUCUGCUCAGCAUGUUAGGAUAUUAGCUGUCGGUGUAACUUCAAAGUGACAGAUGAUUUAGGGAAGUAUUUAGGAAUUCCAAUUACUUGUGGAAGAUCCAAAGUUACUGCUUUUUCUUUCUUGGUGGAAAAAGUUCAUGCUAAGCUCUCUAGCCGGAAUGCGAGUCAUCUGUCGCUCGCAGGUAGAAUCACUCUUGUGAAAGCGAUUUUUUUAGCUAUCCCUACUCAUGUGAUUCAAACGGUUUCUAUGCCUAUCUCUAUAUGCCGUGAGAUAGAUACAAAUCGUCACUGUCCUUCGUAGGUCAGAAAUUUCAUUAAAAUUUAUUAAAACUUAAAUCAAAUUAUAUCUACAAUGAACAUGAUCAAUUUAAUUAGUCAAUUUGAAGUGAACUCUAGGCAUCUUACAUAGGUAUUUGAUUUUUGAUUGAUUCGAUUUCAAUUUUUACACAAAAUUCAAUUGAAAACAAAGUUAUUAAACAUCAAAAGUAAACUGUGAUGAAAUAAUAAUUAAAAAAUAAUUAUUAAAAUAUAUACAUUCAUGGUGAGGGAGGGUUAAAAUUCAAUUAUGUACACCCAAUUUGCAUUAGAAUUUUUUACCAUUUAAUAUAUAUAUAUUUAUUAUUAAUUAAUGUAAAUUUUAUUUACCAACGCGUUAAAUUUAAGCUAUUUGGAAGGCAUUGGUUUUUUUUUUUUUCUGGCCUCCACUUUCGGUCGACUGUCCCCUUUAUUUUAUUAAGAAUUUUGCUGUGCAUACAAGAUUUUCAAACGCAGAUAACUAAAACAAUAUAGGUCUGAUUUGGACAGCAAUUUGAAUCCAUUGUUUGGUAUUUGAGCUCUCAAAUCUCAAUCAUUAGUUUAAGACAUUUUUAUUAAACUUAAUAUUUAAAGCAUUAUUUAAAACUUAAAAAUUAUUUAAAGAUUAAAAUUUCAAUAUUAAAUUCUUAAUUUUAACUCAAUAAUUACGUUACUUUUUUUGAGAAAAUUAAUUUUUCUUUAUUAAUGCUUUACUGGCUCUAUUUAACAUCUAAAAUUAGUACUUAUUUGGUACUACUCAAUUCUUAAAAAAAAAAAAAAAAAAAAAAAAAAAAGUGGAAAUACUUACAUACAUCAAACGUACCUACCAAAUAAAUAUAAUAAAGGAAUUUUUUUUGUAGAAAUAGAUAUACACAGCGAGAUAUUUGGUUGUAGAAAUUCAAUUUUCUAUAUAAAAUCACUUUCCUAAUAAGUAAAUUUCCAGAAAAGAAAUUUCAGGAAUAUAGAAUCUAUAUUCAUGUUUAGGUGGGAAUAAAAUUCGUUUUAGGAAAAUAAGGUAAUUAAAAGCAUUAAUGUGAUUUCGUUUUUAUUGAAAUUCAGCAUUGAAACCACAAAUAUGACAAGUAUUUUAGAAAAAAUUAUUUUCUCAAAUGUGAUAACCAUUAUGGAGAGGAGGUUGUAGGUGGAAAAUUAGAAAUAGAGGCUAUUUAUUCAAGAUUUGAAUUUCUUUGAAAAUGCAACAUUUCUAUGUACUAAUUAAAUAUUAUUCCUUUUAUACUAAAAUAUAAAUCAUUUAGUCCCUUUGUUCCAAAAAAUAAGUCGCUUUUGGGUGAUUAUUUUCUCCAAAAAUAUAAGUCGCUUUAAAUAUUUUAAGGAAUAAUAAAUGAUGUUUUUUCCAAUGAUACCUUUAUUUACAUUAGAUAUAAUAAAUACUUUCACAAAUAACUAUUGGUCUUGAUAUAACGGUUAAUUUAAUCAAAUUACCCUUAGUUUUGUUAUAAUAUAAGUGAAUUAAUUGAUUCCUUAAUUCUUCUGCAAAAACCUUAAACGGCUUAUAUUUUGUGAUAGAGAGAGUAAGAUUUUUUACACAAAUAAUUAAUUCUCCUAAAUUAUAACAAAACUGAUAGUGUGAUCAAAUUACCCUUCACCUC
rnacentral:lncRNA from 1 species